CAAGGUUAAGUCAUAAAGGCAAAUCACUGAGAAAAAAAUAUUCUACAAAGACAAGCUUCAGUACUAGCUCAUGGCCUGGGCAGGAAGCUGCACUGAGAAGCAAACCGGAUCCCCUGGGCUCUCACAGUCAAAAAAUUCACAGAAGGAAGCAGUAUAAGGAUGUGAUACCACUUUUCUAUAACGAAGCAAAAUUUCUCAGUACAAUGACAACUAAGAUAAUAAAUAUUAUGCAUUGAACAUGUUCAUUCUUUUCUGAGCUAAGCACUUUCCAUAUCAAUUCAUUUCACUCCCUGAACAAUCACCUGAAGUAGGGACUGUUGCAAUCCCCUCUCUGCAGAU
rnacentral:lncRNA from 1 species